GACGAACGCUGGCGGCGUGCUUAACACAUGCAAGUCGAACGGAAAGGCCCUGCUUUUGUGGGGUGCUCGAGUGGCGAACGGGUGAGUAACACGUGAGUAACCUGCCCUUGACUUUGGGAUAACUUCAGGAAACUGGGGCUAAUACCGGAUAGGAGCUCCUGCUGCAUGGUGGGGGUUGGAAAGUUUCGGCGGUUGGGGAUGGACUCGCGGCUUAUCAGCUUGUUGGUGGGGUAGUGGCUUACCAAGGCUUUGACGGGUAGCCGGCCUGAGAGGGUGACCGGCCACAUUGGGACUGUGAUACGGCCCAGACUCCUACGGGAGGCAGCAGUGGGGAAUAUUGCACAAUGGGCGGAAGCCUGAUGCAGCAACGCCGCGUGCGGGAUGACGGCCUUGGGGUUGUAAACCGCUUUCGCCUGUGACGAAGCGUGAGUGACGGUAAUGUGUAAAGAAGCACCGGCUAACUACGUG
rnacentral:rRNA from 1 species